AUUGAACGCUGGCGGCAGGCUCAACACAUGCAAGUCGAGCGGAAACGAUGAUAGCUUGCUAUCAGGCGUCGAGCGGCGGACGGGUGAGUAAUACUUAGGAAUCUACCCAGUAGUGGGGGAUAGCUCGGGGAAACUCGAAUUAAUACCGCAUACGACCUACGGGAGAAAGGGGGCAACUUGUUGCUCUCGCUAUUAGAUGAGCCUAAGUCGGAUUAGCUAGAUGGUGGGGUAAAGGCCUACCAUGGCGACGAUCAGUAGCCGACCUGAGAGGGUGAUCGGCCACAUUGGGACUGAGACACGGCCCAA
rnacentral:rRNA from 1 species